AAAGAUAGAAUCUCAAGUGCUUUUUCCAUCUGCCAAAGAAACAAUCCGGGUGCUGUGGCUGCCUCCGCUUAUCAGGGGCAAUACAGCAGCCUGGGGACACAGCC